CCCAAAGUGAAUCGCAAUGGACGGCCCAAAUUGGAUCGCGAUGAAUGGUCCAGAUUCACUCUCUAUUCAAUUGCGAUCGGACGGUUCAGAUCAAACGUGAUGAACGAUCCAGAUAAAAAAUAGGUGGAUAUAAAUAACCCCCAUUCACACCAAACCCUAAUCCUAGCCGCAAGAACCCCUCGCCGGAGAAGACAAUCUAAUCGCCAGGAAGCCGACUGCCGCCACUCGCCGCCGCACUGGAAUCCUUUCUGACAGCCAAAAAAGGUAAAAACUUUCCAAUUUGCACGAAAUUCAAUUUUAAGCUCACCCAUGCUCAAAUCGGAGCAAAAAGACCGACCAAUUAACGGAAAAACACCAGCGAAACUCGACGGCGAUGCCGCAGAAAAUUUUACAAAAUGCCUCCGAUGAGGUCCUUCCCGAUUCUCGUUUCGCGUAAUUUUUCUAUUGUUAUGAUCAUCAUUUUCUUCUCUACAGGUUGAUCAAAGCAAAACACCCAACUGCAACGUGAGCUAGAGGAGCCGCCGCAUCGGAGAGCCUCGCCGCCAGUGAGUUUCGAUUUUUCGUAUUUUUUCAGCUAAUCGAGACCCUUUAAC
rnacentral:lncRNA from 1 species